AAACACCAACAAAAACAGUUCCAGCCCAAAUCUGUGCUCAUGAGUGAGGCGCUGAAAAAGCAGCAAUCAAAGACUUCCUUUUGGUGCAUGUUUAGAUCUGAUUAAAAUUUGAGAAAAAUACAAUUAAACGGAUUAAAAAUUCGAAUCUCUUAUGUGAAUUAAAAUUACCCUCACUACCAACCUACUAGCACUGUUUAGACUGUCCUACACGUACAUACCACAGACUGUAUAAAAAGGUACAUACACACAUACACACACACGCGCGUUUUUAAAUCACAAAACAACCAUCCCGAUUGGUCAGCGUCUUACGCUCUACUCGCGUUCAGCCUAUCGCAGCACAUGACACUGGAAAGUGGGUAGAGCGUUUUCACGCUCAUAUUAUUCUUCUCGCAGGAAGAGCGGCUUUCAAGCGAGGGGGAGUUUCUUUCUUACAGAAAAGAGAGAGAGAGAAAGAUAACACUGUGUCCCAACACUGACCCGUUACCAACACUUCUCACCACCAUAAAUAUUGAUAAGUGACAGCCAUAUCAUUAAUAUCGGUGUGCCAGAGAUGUAAAACGACUCUAAAACACUUGAAGCGGCACUUGACUCUCAUCCGCCAGCUGCUGCUCAGUUACAACAUCUCAAAACACAAAAAUUCUGAUGUUGUAGAGAAAGAUUUCAGAGUGUGGUACUGUGAAUGCCUGUAAAGAGGGCUGCGGGUCCUCGGAGACGCAGUCGAGGUUAGUCAGCAUUACAGCUGUAAAUCCAGCUGUUUCUUUUCUAACAUUUCCUUGUUUUCCGCCUCCGAUGCCAACAGCACACCUAUCUGAUGCUUCCCAGAACUCCCUUUUGUUUGACUCAAUUACCGCACACUGUUUGUUCACAUCAUCAUUUAAAGCAGUGAUUCUCAACAGUUUUUCUUCAAAAACUCUUCAUUGACACCAAAC
rnacentral:lncRNA from 12 species